CGCAGUAUAUAGUACCUAUCAUCGUAAUUCAUAUAAUAUAUUCACAUCGUAUGCCAAAUACUAACAAAGCCAGAAGCUUUGAUCCAAAAUGUCAAAAUAUGCGUGUUUCGGGCUUAUACCAAUAUUAAUAAUAUCAUAAUUAUAAUUCAAAUAAUCAUAACAAUAUACCUACCAAUGUUCACAUUUUGGCGUAGCUGCCAAAUGCUAAUUAUCCACAAUAUUUGUGAACGAAAUUCAAUAUGGACGGAUGGAUUAAAAUUAUCUAAUUUAACUCAACAGCGGCGAAGCACACAGGAAAUAUAACAGAGUCAGGAUUCUACUGGGUUAUAGCACCUUGAACGGACGACAAUAGUUCAUACUCAGAUUCUGCUUCUGAAAAUAAUCCUCUUAACAACGGGAAUAGGAGGCAGGCGCAAUAAUCAUGUCAAAUAAAUGAAAACCCUAUAAAGUUUUACGAAAUAAAGGUUAUAAUCACUUGACCGUAAACCAUUCUAAACACUUUGUCGACCAGCUAACAGAAGCCAACACAUAUACAAUAGAAUACAUCGGAACUUUUACAUCGUCAUCUAAUUGAAGCAUGCAUGGUGAAGCUAUGCGGUGUGAUGGUAUUCGUUGCAAACGGCGCAUGAGCAGAUUUUUUUUCCGGAAUGCUACUUUAAGGUCUAUCGGACCCGAUAUUACCGCCACGCUGGAUCAAUGUGGAAGCAAAACGACCGCUGUACAAUACAAUAUUAUGAAUCUGUGCCGGUACUUGCA